GCCCCCGUUGUCUAAUGGUUAUGACGUCAGACUUCUACCUUUGUAAGCGAAAUUACGUGAGCCAGCGAUCUGGAGGUUGCGGGUUCGAGUCCCGCCGGGGGUU